rnacentral:rRNA from 1 species
GUCCACGCCGUAAACGAUGGGCACUAGGUGUGGGGGUGUCGACUCCCUCCGUGCCGAAGCUAACGCAUUAAGUGCCCCGCCUGGGGAGUACGGCCGCAAGGCUAAAACUCAAAGGAAUUGACGGGGGCCCGCACAAGCAGCGGAGCAUGUGGUUUAAUUCGACGCAACGCGAAGAACCUUACCUGGGCUUGACAUGUGGCUGACCGACGUGGAAACACGUCUUCCCUUCGGGGCAGCUUCACAGGUGGUGCAUGGCUGUCGU